UUGGAGGGCAAGUCUGGUGCCAGCAGCCGCGGUAAUUCCAGCUCCAAUAGCGUAUAUUAAAGUUGUUGCAGUUAAAAAGCUCGUAGUUGAAUUUCGGGAUCAAUACGUCGGUCGUGCUUUUUUGGUACGCACUGGCGUCAUUGGUUUCUCCUUUCUGACGAACCAUGAUGUCAUUAAUUUGGUGUUAUGGGGAGUUAGGACUGUUACUUUGAAAAAAUUAGAGUGUUUAAAGCAGGCAUUAGCUUGAAUACAUUAGCAUGGAAUAAUGAAAUAGGACGUUCGAUCCUAUUUUGUUGGUUUCUAGGAUCAACGUAAUGAUUAAUAGGGAUAGUUGGGGGCAUUAGUAUUCAAUUGUCAGAGGUGAAAUUCUUGGAUUUAUUGAAGACUAACUACUGCGAAAGCAUUUGCCAAGGAUGUUUUCAUUAAUCAAGAACGAAAGUUAGGGGAUCGAAGACGAUCAGAUACCGUCGUAGCCUUAACCAUAAACUAUGCCGACUAGGGAUCGGAUGAUGUUAAUUUUAUAAUGACUCAUUCGGCGCCUUACGGGAAAC
rnacentral:rRNA from 1 species